ensembl:lncRNA
CAGUGAAUAAGUUCAUGUACACGCUAAAAGUGCCCUACACGCUUGUACCUUGGAAAACGUUCGUCUUUAGUCACACUCGCAGAAGCCGGUGUACCCACCGAAACGCCGUGCAUUUAUCGAGACUUUCAACCCCAGGUAGGCCAAUUAUGGAUCUUCGGAUCCACAUUAUGUCAGCAGCUGUUCUCCACCGUGAACUAUGUUAAAGACAAACACCGUGCAGCAGAAGUCCCAUUGUAAACAAAUCACGGCAGACCCGAUGAUGUUUCCAUGAGCAUGCUUUUGAGAACCUCUUUAUUGAGCACUUUUCACACACGGUUGCUGUACGCAUACAGCUGGCUGUAGCUUUUCAGCUCACAGCCCGACAUACACCACCAACAACACAACAGCACAGAUAGCGCAGAUGUAAAGGCAGCGAGGCAUGAUUGCGGGUGUCGCUCAGGUGCGUCCGCCUCCCCUGCGGCGGCGCUGCAGACCACGCCCCGCCGCACGCAUUAACCAGAGUCAGGUCAAGGCUCCAACAGCCCAAAGGCGAUAUAAGGGUGGCGGCUGACAACAGUUUUUGUUUGCUACAUGGAUCAUUUUAGUUCAGGGGCCAUCUGGGAUCGGGGGAGAGAGCGGCGCCAGGAACAAAGCUGAAAAGCUGCAGAGAGCAAAUUUGGAAAAGCUGAAAAUAAAACAGUGUGUACGUGUUGGUCCUUCAUGUCAC